UGUCAGAGAUCAGCUGUGAAGUUCUGAGUUCAACUCUGAAGAAGAACCCAUUUAAUCUGACAGAACUGGACCUGAGCUGGAACGACCUGCAGGAUUCAGUUCUUCAUCUGUGUGGUUUUCUGGAGAGUCCAGACUGCAGACUGCAGACUCUGAGGUUGGUGGACUGCAGGUUGUCAAAGAUCAGCUGUGAUGCUCUGGCUGCAGCUCUGAAGUCCAACCCAUCCCACCUGACAGAACUGGACCUGAGAGACAACAGCCUUGAGUCUUCAGAUGUUGAGCAGCUCCAGGAUCUGGUGAAGAGUCCAAACUCCAAACUGCAGACUCUGAGGUUUUGAGUCUGAUGCUCCUCCUUUUGCAUCAUCAUCAUCAUCAUCAUCAUCAUCAUCAUCAUCAUCAGCUGGUCUGCAGAGAUGUUGUUCCUGGAGAUGGAGAGCAGAGUGAUGGAGGAAUCAGAGGAAGUGGAGAUGAGUGUCAGAGCUGCAGCAUGAACUGAUCUGAGAUCAGCUCCACUGUCUCUCUCAGCAUCAAGUGGACAGUUAUUGUGCUGCAGCUCCCCCGGUGGACUGAUGGAGAACUGCACUUCAUCUUCUCAUUCUAACUUGGAGUGUUGAUUUGAAACAUCAGUUGGAUUCAGAUUUUCAGCAGCUCCAGGAUCUGGAGAAACAAACCGAUUCUUUUCUAGAUCAUCACUUUCUUCUCUCAUCUACAUUUGAUGAAGAGAUCUGGACCAAUCAAGGAUUGAGGGAAUCAUUGAUCAGACAGAACAUUGCUGGAUUAGAUAGAUCUAUGUGUAGGUCAGGGAAAAAUAGGAAGUCAGGCGUUGGAUCCUGUUUCUGUCUCUGGAACAGGGAAAGACAUUUGAACCAGGACUCUGGAUCACAAGAUUUGGAUAAAGAGGAGGUCAGGCACACAAUGGAAGACCGUUUUAGAGCCGUACCUUCAGGCAAAGGUCAGCAAGUGAUCCGAGAUGAAGACUUUAGAUAUUUCGGAAAUGUAUCUUAAAUAUUUUUAUGAUCGUUAUGGUUUAACUCUAUCAUAAAAAACCCAAAUCACUGAAAUAACAUUAAACUGUUCAUUUGAAAGAGUUUCAUCCUCCCCUGUCCUUCUGCAGUAAUGGACUAUUCCAUCUAUUACUGCAGAAGGACAGCAGGUUAGAGAACAGAGAGACCCUUUGAAAAACAAAACAUCUGUAAUCCAGAUGCUAUGAAGAAAGGAAAAGACAAGAAGAUAUAGUGAUAAAUAAAUCAGUGACACUCAAGCAGAAGAUAAAGAAAGACAGGAAUGAGAAAAGAGACUGAAAGAAAAUAGUUAUUUUGAGGAUUAUUAGCUAUUUUUUAUUUGCUUCAUUUUAUGUUGGUUUAUUUUGUUUCCUUUCCUGACAAUUUAAUUUGUUUCUGUUAGAAAGUGAAUAAUUAACAAAUUAGUUCAUUCAAUAAAUUUAAUGUUUUAUCCAUGUAAAAAUAAUGUUUGUAAAAUAUAAAUUGUUAAACAUUUAAAUGUGAUUUUGUUUUUUUUUGUUGCUUUCUAAAUCAUUUGGAUUCUUGACAUUGAUGUUAUCUAAAGGUGAAGAAGUUAUUUUUCAGAUAUUUUACCCUUUAGAUACAGAUUUUCAUAAAACAUUGCAGAUGGUUCCAUGUUCUUGUUCUCCUGAGGUUCUCCACUGGACAGCAGCAGAACUCUCAUUGGGUCCAGAUGAUCUUGGAAUUGAUAAAUCUGAGCACGUCCAUCAGAAAUGAUCCGUCACAAUAUUUGUCUGUAAAGAAACAGUUUAUCUGGUUAAUGGAAACAAAACCUUCAGUCUAAAGUGAUGCUGCACACUAUUUCAAUGGAGACAGUUUGUUUCCAUUUGGUUUGAUCUCAGUGACGUGGGGGGGGGGCUCUGGCUCCUGGGGUCAGGAAGUAGACCACCAGCUGACAGGAGGUUGGUGCUGACAUCGUCUCCAGGGUUCUCUCUCUUUCUAUUUGUAUUUACUCAUAUUUUGUCUUUUCUAAUAUAUGUCUGUAGAUGCACUUGUAUACUUGUAUACAUAUAUAGAUAUGGAUAUAAGGGGGUUGUUUUUCUUUUAUUUAAUAUCAAGAGGGUGUUUUUAUUGUGUUGUUUGUUUCUAUAUGAUCAGGGGCCCGUUUCAAGAAGCUGGUUUUGUUGGAA